rnacentral:rRNA from 1 species
UGACGAGUUUGAUCCUGGCUCAGAUUGAACGCUGGCGGCAGGCCUAACACAUGCAAGUCGAGCGGUUGAGGUAGCUUGCUACCGAUGCAGCGGCGAACGGGUGAGUAAUACAUGGGAAUCUGCCUGGUAGUGGGGGACAACGUUUCGAAAGGAACGCUAAUACCGCAUACGCCCUACGGGGAAAGGGGGGAUCGCAAGACCUCCCGCUAUCAGAUGAGCCCAUGUCAGAUUAGCUUGUUGGUGAGGUAAAGGCUCACCAAGGCGACGAUCUGUAACUGGUCUGAGAGGAUGAUCAGCCACACUGGGGACUGAGACACGGCCAGACUCCUACGGGAGCAGCAGUGGGGAAUUUCCGCAAUGGGCGAAAGCCUGACGGAGCAAUACCGCGUGAGGGAUGAAACGCCGUGU